UACAGAGGUCUCAAGCGUUGUUCGGAUUCAUUGGGCGUAAAGGGUGUGUAGGUGGCGCGCUAAGUCGGGUGUGAAAAUUUCGGAGCUUAACUCCGAAACUGCAUUCGAUACUGGCGUGCUUGAGGACUGGAGAGGAGACUGGAAUUCAUGGUGUAGCAGUGAAACGCGUAGAGAUCAUGAGGAAGACCAGUGGCGAAGGCGGGUCUCUGGACAGUUCCUGACGCUGAGGCACGAAGGCCAGGGGGGAGCAAAACGGG
rnacentral:rRNA from 1 species